UACGUAGGGUCCGAGCGUUGUCCGGAAUUAUUGGGCGUAAAGGGCUCGUAGGCGGUCUGUCGCGUCGGGAGUGAAAACUCAGGGCUCAACCCUGAGCGUGCUUCCGAUACGGGCAGACUAGAGGUAUGCAGGGGAGAACGGAAUUCCUGGUGUAGCGGUGAAAUGCGCAGAUAUCAGGAGGAACACCGGUGGCGAAGGCGGUUCUCUGGGCAUGUCCUGACGCUGAGGAGCGAAAGUGUGGGGAGCGAACAGG
rnacentral:rRNA from 1 species